rnacentral:rRNA from 1 species
GACGAACGCUGGCGGCGUGCUUAACACAUGCAAGUCGAACGGAAAGGCCCUGCUUUUGUGGGGUGCUCGAGUGGCGAACGGGUGAGUAACACGUGAGUAACCUGCCCUUGGCUUUGGGAUAACUUCAGGAAACUGGGGCUAAUACCGGAUAGGAGCUCCUGCUGCAUGGUGGGGGUUGGAAGGUUUCGGCGGUUGGGGAUGGACUCGCGGCUUAUCAGCUUGUUGGUGGGGUAGUGGCUUACCAAGGCUUUGACGGGUAGCCGGCCUGAGAGGGUGACCGGCCACAUUGGGACUGAGAUACGGCCCAGACUCCUACGGGAGGCAGCAGUGGGGAAUAUUGCACAAUGGGCGGAAGCCUGAUGCAGCAACGCCGCGUGCGGGAUGACGGCCUUCGGGUUGUAAACCGCUUCCGCCUGUGACGAAGCGUGAGUGACGGUAAUGGGUAAAGAAGCACCGGCUAACUACGUG